rnacentral:lncRNA from 10 species
GAACGCGCUAGGUACCUGGACGGCGGGGGCGGACGAGGAGGGGUUGGGGGACGCCGACCGCUCGGGGCUGCGGUAUCCAGGCGGCUUGGACCUGCUUUGAACACUCUAAUUUUUUCAAAGUAAACGCUUUGGGCCGCGGAACACUCAGCUAAGAGCAUCGAGGGGGCGCCAAGAGCUUUUUAACUGCAGCAACUUUAAUAUACGCUAUUGGAGCUGGAAUUACCGCGGCUGCUGGCACUAAACUUGCCCUCCAAUGGAUCUUCGUUAAAGGAUUUAAAGUGGACUCAUUCCAAUUACAGGACCUCGAAAGAGUCCUGUAUUGUUAU